rnacentral:lncRNA from 1 species
UUCAUUGUAUAAAUAAUUUAUUUCAGUUCACAGCAUUAAGUCUGCAUCUUAAAAAAAGAAAAAAAACAGAAAAUGAAAAAAAGGAAAGACAGGAGGAACAGAGACUGACAGACAAUGGCGAGGGCAGGACACAGGAUAUCGCAGAUGGGAACACGACAAAUGGACCUGGGGAAUGAGACCUGCCAAAAAACCCAGGUCAUCCAGAAACUGGCCUUGCAAAGAGCCCUUGGGGGCUGCUCUGCUGAGGCCCCUCUUCUUGCAGCCCGCCGAGGGCGACGCUCAUUUUCACACAGGGAAGGGGGAAAACCGGGUGGGACGUUAUGGAAACACCACGGAAGCCAGGAGCUACUCAUUGGAAAAGUCUUUUUAAUUAUUGCAGAAAGCAGAGUGGCUGGCAAGGGCACGGGCACAGCGUCCCACCCGAACCUUCCAGCCCUCUGCCAUCUCUACAAGGGGAUGCUCAGCUGGGUGGAACGAGCUCUCAGGAAGGACCCAGCUCUGUAAGAACAGCCUUUCCACUGCCAGCAUGUGCUAAACGAGACCAGCCAGGAGGUAAAAAAACCCACCACCAACAGCCUGCAGGUGUCAUUCCUAAAACCUGACCACCCUGGAGCUGCUCUGGCCAUCUCUGUCUGUCCAUCCAUCCAUCCAUCCUGCCCUGUCAUGACCCUCCCUGACUUGGUCUCCUGCCCCACUGCAGAGCAGCAUAGUGGCCAGAACCCCGAACUCUGCCUUUUUGGGGGGUUUUACUAAGUAAUUCCUAUCUGGAUCACCUCCAAAGCUGCACCUUGGAGCACCCUCACCCUGAGCACGGGGACAAUGCACACCUGCGGGGGGUUUUGCUGCCGAAGGUGACACCGGUCCUGCACAACCCCCCCAACGCUUCCAGCAGCGUUCACCCCAAACUCUUGGGUAUUCUUUUUUCCUUUUUCCAGCCUUUCCACCCGUUUUUUGAGCCAGGAACUUAAAGCUCUGCACCACUCAGCAGCUGCUCAGCACCCCAGUGUCGCAUCCUCCCCCUACAAGCCAAAGGCUGCCUGUCCUUGCUCUGCACCCUAAAACACCAGCCAGGGUGGGUGGAUGUCCCUUACCCAUCACACCCACCCCUCCAAGACAUUUUCUGCUGGUCCAACCCCCCCAUCCAAGCUUUCAACACCCCUUCCCACCGCCACCCGCGGGGGAGGGAUCCAGGGAUGUGGGGAUGCAGGAAUGAGGGCUGCAAGCCCCCCCCCCCCCCGCCCACCCCGCGGACCUUGCCGAGACACGGUGCAUCCGCACCUCCCGCAGCACCGACCCCCCGCCCCAAAAUGCAUGUGGGGGUCUGGCAUCGACACCCCCAAAAUGCCCACGUUAAAGAUCCAAAAGCACGCUGGGCUCCGCUCGAACGCGCUUCAACAGGGUCCUGCCCUGCUGGUUCCCCGGCACACAAAGGCUCGGUGGUCCCGGAGAUGGAGAGGGGGGGAUUCAUCCCGUUUUCCCGUGUUUCCAGCCCAAGGGAGUCCGGAUCAGACCCUCAGGAGCACGGGGCGGUGGGCGAGGGGAGCUCCGGGAUCUGGGUUCGGCUGGCGGGAGCCGCUUUGUUAUCACCACUAUUGUCUGUCCUUUGGGGAAGGAGGGAAAAAAAAUGAAGAGGGAAAAAAAAAAAAAAAAAGAACGAUUAAACCCAAAAGAAUCGCUUUGGUUCUGUCUCCCCCUCAAUUCCUUUGUCUGCUCCCCCAUCCCUCCCCGCCUCGGCUGAGCUUCUACCGCUUCUUCUUCUGCUUGAGGGACUUCCUGCGCUUGAGGAUCAUCUCGUAGAGCUUGUCCAUGCCCUCCGUCAGCCCCUCGCCGAUGAUGGCGCAGGCGGGCUGGAUGUGGUAGGUGGUGGAAGGGGUCAGCUCGUGGAGGGCCAGCUGCUUCUCGAUCUCGGCCACCGGCAGCGAUUUGGGCAGGUCCUGCUUGUUGGCGAUGACCAGCAGCGGGGUGCCCUGGUUCUCCGCGAACUUGGUCACCUUGUGCAGCUCCGUUUUGGCUUCCUCCAGCCGGUCCACGUCCACUGAGUCCACCACGUAGAUGAUGCCAUCGGUGCAGCGGCUGUAGGACUUCCAGAGCGGGCGCAGCUUCUCCUGCCCGCCCACGUCCCAGAAGUGGCAGCUGAUGCCCUUGGCCGUCCCGUUGCUGAGCCGGAUCUUCUCGGUGUUGAAGCCGAUGGUGGGCACGGUGUUGACGAACUCGUUGAACUUGAGGCGGUAGAGCACCGUGGUCUUUCCUGCCGAAUCCAGGCCCAGCAUGACGAUGUGCAGGGACUGGAAGGCGGAGAUGUUGGAGGAGAUGUUCCCCAUGGCCACGGCUCCCGGCCGCGCUCACAGCCCCUCGCCCAUCCCCGCGCCGCCGGCC